rnacentral:rRNA from 1 species
UACAGAGGGUGCGAGCGUUAAUCGGAAUUACUGGGCGUAAAGAGCUCGUAGGCGGUUCGGUAAGUCAGGUGUGAAAUCUCCACGCUCAACGUGGAGGCGCCACCUGAAACUGCCGUGACUCGAGUCCGGUAGGGGAGUGUGGAAUUCCUGGUGUAGCGGUGAAAUGCGCAGAUAUCAGGAGGAACACCAGUGGCGAAGGCGGCACUCUGGGCCGGUACUGACGCUGAGGAGCGAAAGCGUGGGGAGCGAACAGG